rnacentral:lncRNA from 1 species
ACGAACUUGGCUAAGGAAGAUGCCAAAGGUGUCGCAAGAUGAACGCACCAAUAACGGCACAAGGGUUUCACUAAGAUAAGGUUGAAGUGUUGAAGCACCAAUGUCAGGUGAGGAGAACGUCGAUGUUGUCAAAAAAGGUGAUUAGAUAACACGACAACGGUGAUUAGACGAACAAAAGACAUGUUGACGAUGAUUGGAUGAAUUGAAGACGCAUUGGCGAUGAUUGGACGAAUGGAAGAUGUACCCGUGGUGAGUUAAAAACGAAAAUUUGAAUUUUUUAGUUUCUAAAAUCCAU